rnacentral:lncRNA from 1 species
CACGCCUAGGCUCAGUGGUGGCCCUGGAAUUGGAGGCAAUAGCUGCAAUCACAGAGGUGGAAGAAAGCAAAAAUAAGUUGCAGCCUUCACUUGUCAGGGCUGGUAAUGGGGAGGAGGAACAAGGAGCAACCUUGGAGAUGGGGAGGAAGAAAAGAGGAAGCAGAACUUGGUGCUUUCUCCAUGGAUGGAUUCACUGGAUGUGCAACUAUAACUGAGUUUCAUCCCAUGGGUGAGGUCCAUUUGGCGACCAGACAAGGUUCCUGCACGUGUUAUGCCCAGACGGGCCUCACUACCUUCAACACACUUCACCCUUUCGUGCUUCUUCCUGCUGGGCAUCUCUGCUCCUUGCAGCCAGGCCUGCGGAGGCCUCCACAGAGUCUACCCACUGCCCCGGAAGGCUGUUCGUACAUCAUGGUCAGCAAACAAGAAGUCAUAAAGACAGAAUUUUAAAUGAGUUCCUCGUAAUAAAAGUGGGGUAUAAAACCA